rnacentral:rRNA from 1 species
GACGAACGCUGGCGGCGUGCCUAAUACAUGCAAGUCGAACGAGAGCACCCGGUGCUUGCACUGGUCAAUCUAGUGGCGAACGGGUGAGUAACACGUGGGUAACCUGCCCAUCAGAGGGGGAUAACAUCCGGAAACGGAUGCUAAAACCGCAUAGGUCUUCGAACCGCAUGGUUUGAAGAGGAAAAGAGGCGCAAGCUUCUGCUGAUGGAUGGACCCGCGGUGCAUUAGCUAGUUGGUGAGGUAACGGCUCACCAAGGCCGUGAUGCAUAGCCGACCUGAGGGGGUGAUCGGCCACAUUGGGAGUGAGACACGGCCCAAACUCCUACGGGAGGCAGCAGUAGGGAAUCUUCCGCAAUGGGCGCAAGUCUGACGGAGCAACGCCGCGUGAGUGAAGAAGGUGUUCGGAUCGUAAAACUCUGUUGUUAGAGAAGAACAAGUGCUAGAGUAACUGUUAGCGCCUUGACGGUAUCUAACCAGAAAGCCACGGCUAACUACGUG